rnacentral:rRNA from 1 species
UGGCGGACGGGUGAGUAAUGUCUGGGAAACUGCCCGAUGGAGGGGGAUAACUACUGGAAACGGUAGCUAAUACCGCAUAAUGUCGCAAGACCAAAGAGGGGGACCUUCGGGCCUCUUGCCAUCGGAUGUGCCCAGAUGGGAUUAGCUAGUUGGUGAGGUAACGGCUCACCAAGGCGACGAUCCCUAGCUGGUCUGAGAGGAUGACCAGCCACACUGGAACUGAGACACGGUCCAGACUCCUACGGGAGGCAGCAGUGGGGAAUAUUGCACAAUGGGCGCAAGCCUGAUGCAGCCAUGCCGCGUGUAUGAAGAAGGCCUUCGGGUUGUAAAGUACUUUCAGCGGGGAGGAAGGGGUUAAGG